UUAAAUAGAUUAAAAUAUAAAUGAAACACUCACAUUUAAAUGAGCUAUGGCCAGCUCAGGUAAAACAGGCAUACUGUUUUACCUGAGCUGGCCAUAGCUCAUUUAAAUGUGAGUGUUUCAUUUAUAUUU